GGUGAGUAACACGUGGGCAAUCUGCCCUGCACUCUGGGACAAGCCCUGGAAACGGGGUCUAAUACCGGAUACUGAUCCGCCUGGGCAUCCAGGCGGUUCGAAAGCUCCGGCGGUGCAGGAUGAGCCCGCGGCCUAUCAGCUUGUUGGUGAGGUAGUGGCUCACCAAGGCGACGACGGGUAGCCGGCCUGAGAGGGCGACCGGCCACACUGGGACUGAGACACGGCCCAGACUCCUACGGGAGGCAGCAGUGGGGAAUAUUGCACAAUGGGCGAAAGCCUGAUGCAGCGACGCCGCGUGAGGGAUGACGGCCUUCGGGUUGUAAACCUCUUUCAGCAGGGAAGAAGCGAAAGUGACGGUACCUGCAGAAGAAGCGCCGGCUAACUACGUGCCAGCAGCCGCGGUAAUACGUAGGGCGCAAGCGUUGUCCGGAAUUAUUGGGCGUAAAGAGCUCGUAGGCGGCUUGUCACGU
rnacentral:rRNA from 1 species